rnacentral:misc_RNA from 1 species
UCACCCGUCAAGCCUGGCUUGUUGUUGGACCCUUCGGCGUGUUAUGCGGUCGAAGGUCCGAAAGAAAAUGGCGGCGUCGAGUUUACCCCACGUGCAAUGAGCUUAAUUUAACGGCACGCACGUCGGUAGGCUAACCGGCCCGGUCGUUGUGACUGCGUUUAAUCUCGCGGUCACCCCCCACUUCCAA